GACGAACGCUGGCGGCGUGCUUAACACAUGCAAGUCGAACGGUAAGGCCCUUCGGGGUACACGAGUGGCGAACGGGUGAGUAACACGUGGGUGAUCUGCCCUGCACUUCGGGAUAAGCCUGGGAAACUGGGUCUAAUACCGGAUAGGACCAUUGCCUGCAUGGGUGGUGGUGGAAAGCUUUUGCGGUGUGGGAUGGGCCCGCGGCCUAUCAGCUUGUUGGUGGGGUGAUGGCCUACCAAGGCGACGACGGGUAGCCGGCCUGAGAGGGUGACCGGCCACAGUGGGACUGAGAUACGGCCCAGACUCCUACGGGAGGCAGCAGUGGGGAAGAUUGCACAAUGGGCGCAAGCCUGAUGCAGCGACGCCGCGUGAGGGAUGACGGCCUUCGGGUUGUAAACCUCUUUCAGCAUCGACGAAGCGCAAGUGACGGUAGGUGCAGAAGAAGGACCGGCCAACUACGUGCCAGCCGCCGCCGUAA
rnacentral:rRNA from 1 species